GUUUGUAUAACUUCCUUUUAUGUUCAUAUAUGCUUAACUGUAUUUGAUUGCAUUACUAUAUUAUAUAUAUUAUAUGUUCAUUUAUAUUUGUUUAUCUUUGUUCAUUUAUGUUCGUUUAGCAUGUUCACGAACAUAAACGAAUGAACAAUGUAAUUUGUUAAAAGAACGAACAUGAACGAUAAAAUUCGUUCGUUUAUCCGUUCGCGUUCGUUCAUUUGUUCGGCUAACUUAAACGAACGAACAUGAACAACCCUCAUUCGUGUUUGUUCAGUUCAUUUACAACCCUACAUGGACUAUCCAUACAUUAUUUUCUCGUUCUAACUAUCCAUGUGUUAUUUUUUUCAUUUGGACUAUCCAUACAUUAUUUUUUUGGUUCAAACUAUAAUGUAUUACAGUAUUUUUUUGGUUCGGACUAACCAUAAAUUAUUUCUUUCAUUCGGACUAACCAUACAUGUUUUUCUACGAUUAUAAAGCAUCGGCAUACUACAAACCAUUUCAAUUAUUAUUGUUUUUGUCUUUUGUCUUUUAUUUUAAAUUUUAUGAGUUAUUAUGUUCGUCUUAACAAUUUUGUUGUUGACUGAAUGCGUUUGACCAUGAGUUAUUAAUGUCAUCAUGUUUUCAAACAUGAUUUCCAUUAGUUUAUGUAGUUUUGUUAAUAACAAUGACUUUAACUUUAAGGACCAUUUAUAUAAAUUAUCUGUAACUUUAGGGACCAUUUAUGUAAAUUACUUUUUGUCAAUUAAAUUGAAGAGAUGUAUCUAGUAAUAGUGAAUUGUAGAGAUGUACUUAGUAAUAGUGAAUUGCCUCUUCAGAUAUCGAUGUCCUAGUAAUAGUGAAUUGUCUCUUCAUAUAUCAACGUCCUUACUAAUAGUGAAUCGACUCUUUAAAUAUCGAUGUCUUUAUAUCAGUUACAUUGAAUCAUAUGGUGUUCAACAUUCAUGAAAUUUUAAUGGAUUGGGUUCAAAAUGUGGCCAUGGUGGAGAUCCAAAACACCCUCAUGAUGAAUCUCAUUAGAACUACUGGCAGUUGCUCUGUUUUGGGUGGGUUUUUUUUUUCAACUAUGAAGUGGACUAGUGAUAGUGAUGAGGUUCCAAAGAGUAGGAUUAGAUGAAGGAUUUGCAGGAGUACAUUAGAACCAGAGGACAUAAACACAAUGUUUGCAAAUCCAUAGAAUCUGUUCCAUUCUUAAGGUGAUGAUUGUGGGAUUGCUCUCACUGGAAAUUCCCAUGUUUUGUUUAUCUGUUUAACCAUGAAACUCAUUCAAUGUUAUUAACGUUUUAUAACAACUAAUUAUUUGAAAUGUAUGAUUUAGCCACCUAUCUUUUUAUA